rnacentral:rRNA from 1 species
GAUGAACGCUGGCGGCGUGCUUAACACAUGCAAGUCGAGCGAGAAGUUUUGAAAAGAUUCUUCGGAUGAAAUUUAAAAUGGAAAGCGGCGGACGGGUGAGUAACGCGUAGGCAACCUGCCCCAUACAAAGGGAUAGCAUUUGGAAACGAAUAUUAAUACCUUAUGAAACUUAACUAGUGCAUGCUAGGUAGGUCAAAGAUUUAUCGGUAUGGGAUGGGCCUGCGUCUGAUUAGCUAGUUGGUGAGGUAACGGCUCACCAAGGCGACGAUCAGUAGCCGACCUGGGAGGGUGAACGGCCAGAUUGGAACUGAGGGACGGGCCAAAUUCCUACGGGAGGAAGCAGUGGGGAAUAAUGAACGACGGGGGAAAGACUGAUGAAGCACCGCCGCGUGAACGAGGAAGGCCUUUGGGUAGUAAAGUUCUGCUCUAGGGGAUGAAAAGUGACAGUAACCUAGGAGAAAGCCCCGGCUAACUCCGUG